rnacentral:rRNA from 1 species
GAUGAACGCUAGCUACAGGCUUAACACAUGCAAGUCGAGGGGAAACGAUAUUGGAAGCUUGCUUCUGAUAGGCGUCGACCGGCGCACGGGUGAGUAACGCGUAUCCAACCUGCCCAUCACUUGGGGAUAACCUUGCGAAAGUAAGAUUAAUACCCGAUGGCAUAAUUCUUCCGCAUGGUAGAACUAUUAAAGAAUUUCGGUCAUCGAUGGGGAUGCGUUCCAUUAGGUUGUUGGCGGGGUAACGGCCCACCAAGCCUUCGAUGGAUAGGGGUUCUGAGAGGAAGGUCCCCCCACAUUGGAACUGAGACACGGUCCAAACUCCUACGGGAGGCAGCAGUGAGGAAUAUUGGUCAAUGGACGAGAGUCUGAACCAGCGAAGUAGCGUGCAGGAUGACGGCCCUAUGGGUUGUAAACUGCUUUAUAAGGAUAAAGUGGGAGUCGUGACUCUUUUUGCAUGUACCUUAUGAAUAAGGACCGGCUAAUUCCGUG